AUUCCGGUUGAUCCUGCCGGACCUGACUGCUAUCGGAUUGAUACUAAGCCAUGCGAGUCAUUGUAGCAAUACAAGGCAUACGGCUCAGUAACGCGUAGUCAACCUAACCUAUGGACGGAAAUAACCUCGGGAAACUGAGAAUAAUAUCCGAUAGAACACUAUACCUGGAAUGGUUUGUGUUCCAAAUGAUUUAUCGCCGUAGGAUGGGACUGCGGCCUAUCAGUUUGUUGGUGAGGUAAUGGCCCACCAAGACUAUUACAGGUACGGGCUCUGAGAGGAGUAGCCCGGAGAUGGGUACUGAGACA
rnacentral:rRNA from 1 species